AACCCUCACCUCCCACUCUCUUUCAACUCUUUUGUUGAGAGCGUAGUGAGCGAUGUUCCCGCCCUCGUCGCGAGCAUCCGGAUUCAAAAGGUGGAGCUGGCUUUUGCUUUUCGCAAGAUAAAGCAUCAGCUGAAGCGUCGAGCGCUCGAAGCAAGAACGUUUUCUGCCUGCCUUCAAACAGCAGGGAGAAAGCGAUGACUGGACAGGUUUCCUAGAACACGAAAGUCGUCGACCAUGUGUUCCUGCACGUAGGGCCCA
rnacentral:misc_RNA from 1 species